GCUCUCCCUCUUGCUGUGUGCUCUGUGUGCUCCAUGUUCCUCAGUUUCAAUGUAGUUUGAACUUAAUUCUCGAGUUGUUGAUUUUUGCCUCAUCAAAUUGUUUUGUAUUACUUAUUUUCAGAGGUGGGAAGCACAAAUACUUCGUUACUGUGCUGAAGAACAAUUUUCAGUGUUAGAGUGAGAAGCCUAAUGCCUCUGUAUUCAUGGAGCUGAGGAGGAGCAUCAGCCUAAGUGGCAGGAAUGGUACAUAAUGGAGUGGCCAUGCUGAGCUUGCCUUUUGUCCCGUUUCCCUCGCCUCAUCCUGAACCAGUCUCCGUAGAUGAGUGCCCCUCCCUGAUCAUGGUUCUACCGUCCUGUUAAAAGGGUGCUUUUUCUUCCCCCUGUCGC
ensembl:lncRNA